AUUGAACGCUGGCGGCAGGCCUAACACAUGCAAGUCGAGCGGUAACACAGAGGAGCUUGCUCCUUGGGUGACGAGCGGCGGACGGGUGAGUAAUGCCUGGGGAUCUGCCCGAUAGAGGGGGAUAACUACGGGAAACUGAAGCUAAUACCGCAUAACGUCUACGGACCAAAGUGGGGGCUCUUCGGACCUCAUGCUAUCGGAUGAACCCAGGUGGGAUUAGCUAGUUGGUGAGGUAAUGGCUCACCAAGGCGACGAUCUCUAACUGGUUUGAGAGAAUGACCAGUCACACUGGAACUGAGACACGGUCCAGACUCCGGCGGGAGGCGGCAGUGGGGAAUAUUGCACAAUGGGCGCAAGCCUGAUGCAGCCAUGCCGCGUGUGUGAAGAAGGCCUUCGGGUUGUAAAGCACUUUCAGCGAGGAGGAAGGGUUACUAGCUAAUACCUAGUGACAUUGACGUUACUCGCAGAAGAAGCACCGGCUAACUCCGUGCCAGCCGCCGCGGUAA
rnacentral:rRNA from 1 species